CGGAAGUACUCGGAGCGCCCGGGAGGGAGGCUCUAGUUCACAGAAGCUGUUGUCAUCCGACACUGAGGUUUUGGGACUUGGCGGAGAAGCCUCCAUCCUUUGUCCAGAGCAGAACAGGAUGGCCAUUUCCCAG
rnacentral:lncRNA from 1 species